CAGUGGGCAGUGUGUGGUCGGGCCUGGGCCAGCUUACUGGGCCCAUGGUGGUAUCGGACAAGAUUGGUGGUGGUUGCUGCCCCCCCUCCCCACCCCGUCCCUCGUCCCCUUCGCCCUCCAUCACUGACCCACUCAAGGUGGGUUUGAUGCGUGGUCACAACAUAAUGAGUUGAUGGUUGCAACACAAAAAGUUUCCAUUUCUUACCCCCCAGGAGACCUUGUUAGGAAAGUUGUUGGCUCGUUACUUUAAAAAUGUCCUAUAGCUCGUGGAGUUCCCAUCAUGGUUCCCAGUCAGAUUCUUAACCACUGCGCCACCACAGGAACUCCUCAGCCUGCUUCUAACUCUGCAGCUCUGUCUAGAACGUUGCCCACCCGUGUACCACUUUCUCUUCCACCCCACAGUAACCUGCCCACAAAGCCUUCCAACCACGCUUAGAAUCUGACCUGUGUCUCCGUCUCGCUGCAGCCACGCUGGUCCCAGACCCCAGGGCGUCUCCCCUGGAUUCCAUCUCAGCCCCCUUUCUGUCUGCCCCGCGCUCCACCUUGGGCUCGCUGGUGGUGCGAACUGGAGACGGGCACCUGCCACCUGCCUCCCGAGCCGCUGUAGCUGGCGACCCUCAGCACCGCCUGCAAGGAGCUCGGGGUGGAGACCAGGAGGGAGGGCUCUGUGCUCUGGGAAAAUAGGCAGAGCAGAACUUGAGACAGAUAUUGUGAGCCCAACUCUUGCAUCUCUUCGUGUCUAGAAAAGCACCGACAGCCUUCAUGGUGACAGCUGCUCCUCGUGAACAGCUGCGGCGUUCACAAGACGAGCAGCGACUUCUGCAAAUGGGUGCUUGGGUGCACGCCCUCCCCCUUCACCGAAACCAUCUAUACUGACCUUCCCGCCACCUCUGUGGAGCGGUGUCUCGGAGCUCUCUGGAGCGCUGCCUCCCGGGCUCGCCUCCUCAUUUUGCCCCAAGUAAAACUUAACUGUCGGAGGUCCUGUGGUGGCUCAGCAGAAGCG
rnacentral:lncRNA from 1 species